ensembl:misc_RNA Metazoa_SRP Metazoan signal recognition particle RNA
GCUGGGCAUGUUGGCACAUGCCUGUAAUCCCAGCUACUCAAGAGGCUGAGGCAGGAGAAUUGCUUGAGCCCAGGAGAUGGAGGUUGCAGUGAGCCGAGAUCGUGCCACUGCACUCCAGCCUGAGCAACAGAGCGAGACUCUGUCUCAA